AACAAACGCUGGCGGCGUGCCUAAUACAUGCAAGUCGAACGGGGAAAGCUUUCGGGUGAGUACUAGUGGCGCACGGGUGAGGAACGCGUGGAUAAUCUGCCUUAGAGUGGGGGAUAACUAGUCGAAAGAUUAGCUAAUACCGCAUAAGACCAAAGGAGCUGCGGCUCGAGGGGUCAAAGGUUUUUCGCUCUAAGAUGAGUCCGCGUAAGAUUAGCUAGUUGGUGAGGUAACGGCUCACCAAGGCGACGAUCUUUAACUGGUCUGAGAGGAUGAUCAGUCACACUGGAACUGAGACACGGUCCAGACUCCUACGGGAGGCAGCAGUAGGGAAUAUUGCACAAUGGAGGAAACUCUGAUGCAGCGACGCCGCGUGAGUGAUGAAGGCCUUCGGGUCGUAAAGCUCUGUCGCAGGGGAAUAACACAAUGAAUGUACCCUGUAAGAAAGGAUCGGCUAACUCCGUGCCAGCCGCCGCGGUAACAC
rnacentral:rRNA from 1 species